rnacentral:sRNA from 1 species
AAAAUGUUAACAAAAAUAUACCGCGAUUAUUAAUUAAUAUAAAAGAAUUUAUAAUUUGCAAACAAAAAGUAUAUUUCCAUAUAUAAUAUGAAAGUUUUAUAAUAAUAUAUAAAAUGGUAGGUAAUUAAAUAAUUUGUAAAAUAAUAAUAUAAACUUCUAUAAUAGAAAAUUAUGGAUAAAAUAUUUUCGUUGGUUAUAUUAAACGGUUAUUUUUAUUAAUUGUAAAAUAUAUGUUUUUAAUUAAAUAUUUCCUGGUUAAAAUAACCGUAAAUAAAUAUAUAUUAUAUUAAUUCCCGGAAUCUUUAGCGCAGAAAGACAUUAUUAACAGUGGUAAAAUGUUUGUAAAAUUAAAAUUUAAUACCGUUAUAACGUAACUGUUAUUUAAUAUUAAAAUUUCGUUGUAUUUUCCUCAAAAUAACAAAAAUAUAUUAGGCCGGAUUUGGUAAUAUUAUAUUUAUUUGGGGCGGCUAAUUAGGUGUGGAUAAAUUAGUAUAAAUUAAUAUAUCGGCACGGUAAUAUUAAAAUAUAAAACUUACAAAUUACUAUUUAUUUUUAUUUUAAAGUUUUAAAUAAUAAAAAAUGCGGCAAUUUUAAAAAUUGGAAAAUAAAAUCCGAAAAUAAAAAUAAGUAUUUUGCGGGAUGCGUGAAAAAGAACAUUUUCGAGAAAGUUAAAUUUAAUAUUAAAUAUAAAAUAUUUAUAUUAAAAUAUCUUUCUAAUAAUAAAACCUAGUUGGUAAGGAGCUUAUUCUACGGUAUAUAUAUAAAUGGUAUAAUUUUUUUAAUAUUUGUAAUAAAAAUAACUAUUAUUAAUAACGGCGUUUUCUGGCGUAAUAAUAUAAUUUGCUCGUUAGCGGUAAAAACCGACCAAGUAUUCUUUUUUUAAAUUAAAACGAGCGUUGUUUUUUCCGCCAUUAUAAUACCUCGAAAGGUAAUAUAGCUGGUAAAACAUAUAAGCGCGCGGGCCACUUUUGCGAAACAGGAGUGCGCUAGUUUAAAUAUUGAAGUUAUAAGUAAAUGGUUUUUUAACAAAUUAAAUAGGUCGAAAAAAAGCGCUUGUUUUAAUUUGAGCACAAAUUGUCGAUUUUGACCGUAUAUUAAAGUUGGUGCACAAUAUACGCACUGUGCACGCACAGUAUAGGUAAAACGUUAUAUAGUUAAAUUAUUAUGCAUUUUUAAAAGUACGACUAACAAAUCGAAUAACACCUAUGAAAAUGCACGAUAAAUAAUAUUAUAUAAUCGAUUUGAGGGGUUUGUUUAUAAACUUUAUCCUCCUAUUUUAUUAUUAAUAUAAAUUAGUUUAUAAAAGGUUUUAUCAAAUAUUUACCUAUUUUUAUAUUUUAUUAUAUUUGUUAAUAUAUAUAUAUUUGAU